rnacentral:rRNA from 1 species
GAUGAACGCUGGCGGCGUGCCUAAUACAUGCAAGUCGAGCGAACAGAUAAGGAGCUUGCUCCUUUGACGUUAGCGGCGGACGGGUGAGUAACACGUGGGUAACCUACCUAUAAGACUGGGAUAACUUCGGGAAACCGGAGCUAAUACCGGAUAACAUUUGGAACCGCAUGGUUCUAAAGUGAAAGAUGGUUUUGCUAUCACUUAUAGAUGGACCCGCGCCGUAUUAGCUAGUUGGUAAGGUAACGGCUUACCAAGGCGACGAUACGUAGCCGACCUGAGAGGGUGAUCGGCCACACUGGAACUGAGACACGGUCCAGACUCCUACGGGAGGCAGCAGUAGGGAAUCUUCCGCAAUAGGCGAAAGCCUGACGGAGCAACGCCGCGUGAGUGAUGAAGGGUUUCGGCUCGUAAAACUCUGUUAUUAGGGAAGAACAAAUGUGUAAGUAACGGUGCACGUCUUGACGGUACCUAAUCAGAAAGCCACGGCUAACUACGU